rnacentral:rRNA from 1 species
AUAUCAAUAAGCGGGGAAAAGAAACUAACAAGGAUUCCCCUAGUAACUGCGAGUGAAGCGGGAAAAGCUCAAAUUUAAAAUCUGGCAGUCUCUGGCUGUCCGAGUUGUAAUCUAGAGAAGUGUUAUCCGCGCUGAACCGUGUACAAGUCUCCUGGAAUGGAGCGUCAUAGAGGGUGAGAAUCCCGUCUUUGACACGGACUACCAGGGCUUUGUGAUGCGCUCUCAAAGAGUCGAGUUGUUUGGGAAUGCAGCUCAAAAUGGGUGGUAAAUUCCAUCUAAAGCUAAAUAUUGGCGAGAGACCGAUAGCGAACAAGUACCGUGAGGGAAAGAUGAAAAGAACUUUGGAAAGAGAGUUAAACAGUACGUGAAAUUGCUGAAAGGGAAACGCUUGAAGUCAGUCGCGUUGACCGGGGAUCAACCUUGCUUUUGCUGGGCGUACUUUCCGGUUGACGGGUCAGCAUCAAUUUUGACCAUUGGAUAAAGUCCAGGGGAAUGUGGCAUCUUCGGAUGUGUUAUAGCCCUUAGUCGCAUACAAUGGCUGGGAUUGAGGAACUCAGCACGCCGCAAGGCCGGGUACUUGUACCACGUUCGUGCUUAGGAUGCUGGCAUAAUGGCUUUAAUCGACCCGUCUUGAAACACGGACCAAGGAGUCUAACAUGCCUGCGAGUGUUUGGGUGGAAAACUCGGACGCGUAAUGAAAGUGAAAGUUGAGAUCCCUGUCGUGGGGAGCAUCGACGCCCGGACCAGACCUUUUGUGACGGAUCCGCGGUAGAGCAUGUAUGUUGGGACCCGAAAGAUGGUGAACUAUGCCUGAAUAGGGUGAAGCCAGAGGAAACUCUGGUGGAGGCUCGUAGCGAUUCUGACGUGCAAAUCGAUCGUCAAAUUUGGGUAUAGGGGCGAAAGACUAAUCGAACCAUCUAGUAGCU